CGUUGUCCUUAAAUGACCGCAUGGAGAGCCGCCCUGUCCUGAUUACAAUAGCAUCUAUGUCUGAUCUUGGACAAGCCAUGCUACAGUCAUAAGUCUGCCACUCUGGCAUGAACGGACUCUGGUCUUUCUUUCUGUAGACACGUCUUUUUAGUCCCUGUCAUCCCUACCCAGAACAAGAUAUGGAACAUUUCCAACAGCCCAGGAAAAUGUCUUCAGUCUUUUCCCAGGCAAUGUUGAACACCCCCACCAGC